UACGGAGGGUGCAAGCGUUAUCCGGAUUCACUGGGUUUAAAGGGUGCGUAGGUGGGUAGGUAAGUCAGCGGUGAAAUCCCCGAGCUUAACUUGGGAACUGCCAUUGAUACUAUCUGUCUUGAAUACCUUGGAGGUGAGCGGAAUAUGUCAUGUAGCGGUGAAAUGCUUAGAUAUGACAUAGAACACCAAUUGCGAAGGCAGCUUACUAAAGUGUGAUUGACGCUGAGGCACGAAAGCGUGGGGAUCAAACAGG
rnacentral:rRNA from 1 species